rnacentral:rRNA from 1 species
GCAUAUCAAUAAGCGGAGGAAAAGAAACCAACAGGGAUUGCCUCAGUAACGGCGAGUGAAGCGGCAGCAGCUCAGAUUUGGAAUCUGGCCUCGAUCGGGGCCCGAGUUGUAGUCUGUAGAGGAUGCUUCGGGGGUGGACCGGGCCUAAGUUCCUUGGAACAGGACGUCAGAGAGGGUGAGAGUCCCAUCUACGGCCCGGAUCCCUCCCCCGGGUGAAGCUCCCUCGACGAGUCGAGUUGUUUGGGAAUGCAGCUCAAACCGGGUGGUAAAUCUCAUCUAAAGCUAAAUACCCGCCGGAGACCGAUAGCGCACAAGUAGAGUGAUCGAAAGAUGAAAAGCACUUUGAAAAGAGAGUUAAACAGCACGUGAAAUUGUUGAAGGGGAAGCGCUCGCGAUCAGACUUGCCUGCGGUUCCUCAGUCGGCGGGCCCACCGCCGGCGCACUGGGCCUCAGGCAGGCCAGCAUCGGUUCAGGUGGCGGAAGAAUGGCCCCGGGAAUGUGGCUCCCUUCGGGGUGCAUUAUAGCCCGGGGUGGGACGCCGCCGCCCGGACCGAGGCCCGCGCUCCGGCAAGGAUGCUGGCGUAAUGGUCGCCAGCGACCCGUCUUGAAACACGGACCAAGGAGUCUAACAUCCACGCGAGUGUUUGGGUGUCAAACCCCCGACGCGCAAUGAAAGUGAACGGAGGUGGGACCCCGCACGGGUGCACCAUCGACCGAUCCUGAAGUUCACGGAUGGAUUUGAGUAGGAGCGUGGCUGUUGGGACCCGAAAGAUGGUGAACUAUGCCUGAAUAGGGUGAAGCCAGAGGAAACUCUGGUGGAGGCUCGCAGCGGUUCUGACGUGCAAAUCGAUCGUCAAAUUUGGGUAUAGGGGCGAAAGACUAAUCGAACCAUCGCCGCUACUAGGUGGUCGAGAGGCAGGCGGUAGACCCGGCCUAGUCCCCCGCUCACGGGGCGACGCUGUCAAAUUGCGGGGACACCCUUAGAGCUCCGACGCGCCGUCCGUCGACCGCGAGGUCGAUGCCCCGCCGGGGGAUCCGACGGCGUCGCAGAUUGGGCGAUCCGCAGCCAACCCCCAGGGGCCGGCCGGCCAUGGGGAGGGGUUCACAGACUAGAUGGCAGUGGGUGGGACCCUCGCUGGGUCCGCCUAAGGUAUAGUCGGUCCGCCGGGAGACCGGUCGGGGGAGCACGGUCCCGAGCGCGGUGAGCACCCGGAUCCUCGGGCGGCGCCGGGCCCUCGUGCCACCCUGGGGGGCGCCACCCCGCGAGAGGUGGCGCCCUCGGAGGAGUCUGCUAGUAGCUGGUUCCUGCCGAAGUUUCCCUCAGGAUAGCAGUAACGUGUGGCAGUUUUAUGAGGUAAAGCGAAUGAUUAGAGGCCUUGGGGUUGAAACAACCUUAACCUAUUCUCAAACUUUGAAUAUGUAAGAAGUCCUCGUUGCUUGGUUGAACGUGGACAUUCGAAUGUACCGUUACUAGUGGGCCAUUUUUGGUAAGCAGAACUGGCGAUGCGGGAUGAACCGAACGCGGGGUUAAGGUGCCGGAAUGCACGCUCAUCAGACACCACAAAAGGUGUUGGUUCAUCUAGACAGCAGGACGGUGGCCAUGGAAGUCGGAAACCGCUAAGGAGUGUGUAACAACUCACCUGCCGAAUGAACUAGCCCUGAAAAUGGAUGGCGCUCAAGCGUGCUACCCAUACCCCGCCGCCAGGGUAGGAACGAGGCCCUGGCGAGUAGGCAGGCGUGGGGGUCCGUGACGAAGCCUUGGGAGCGAUCCCGGGCCGAACGGCCCCUAGUGCAG